rnacentral:sRNA from 1 species
GAAUGUCGCAAGAGCUUAUCCUCCUCCCAAGCUCAAGCGAUUGAAGGUUGGCUUUCUCCUCCCAAGCCGACCUUACUUAAAGGCACUCGCUGUACCUCCUCCCACAGCGAGUGCCGUUA